GCCCCGGUAGCCCAACUGGCAGAGGCAGGCGACUUAAAAUCGUCACAGUCAGGGUUCAAAUCCCUGCCGGGGCACCA
rnacentral:tRNA from 1 species